CGUAGGUGGCAAGCGUUGUCCGGAAUUAUUGGGCGUAAAGCGCGCGCAGGCGGUUCCUUAAGUCUGAUGUGAAAGCCCCCGGCUCAACCGGGGAAGGUCAUUGGAAACUGGGGAGCUUGAGUGCAGAAGAGAAGAGCGGAAUUCCACGUGUAGCGGUGAAAUGCGUAGAGAUGUGGAGGAACACCAGUGGCGAAGGCGGCUCUUUGGUCUGUAACUGACGCUGAGGCGCGAAAGCGUGGGGAGCAAACAGGAUUAGAUACCCUGGUAGUCCACGCCGUAAACGAUGAGUGCUAAGUGUUAGAGGGUUUCCGCCCUUUAGUGCUGCAGCUAACGCAUUAAGCACUCCGCCUGGGGAGUACGGCCGCAAGGCUG
rnacentral:rRNA from 1 species